CUUGAAGACGACGAGGUAGAUAGGUUGGAGGUGGAAGUGCAGCAAUGCAUGGAGCUGACCAAUACUAAUCGGUCGAGGGCUUAUCCUACAA
rnacentral:rRNA from 1 species